rnacentral:piRNA from 1 species
CAGGAAGCAAGAAACAGUCAUAGGACUGCC